UACAGAGGGUGCAAGCGUUGUUCGGAAUUAUUGGGCGUAAAGCGCGUGUAGGCGGCAGCGCAAGUCGGGCGUGAAAUCCCACGACUCAACCGUGGAAGUGCACUCGAAACUGCGCAGCUAGAGUCCUGGAGAGGAAGGUGGAAUGCUUGGUGUAGAGGUGAAAUUCGUAGAUAUCAAGCGGAACACCGGUGGCGAAGGCGGCCUUCUGGACAGUGACUGACGCUGAGAUGCGAAAGCGUGGGGAGCAAACAGG
rnacentral:rRNA from 1 species